UACGUAGGGGGCGAGCGUUGUCCGGAUUGACUGGGCGUAAAGCGCGCGCAGGCGGCCUGACGCGCCGGCCGUGAAAGCCCCCGGCUCAACCGGGGCGGGUCGGUCGGGACGGUCAGGCUGGAGGGUGUCAGAGGGGGGUGGAAUGCCGCGUGGAGCAGUGAAAUGCGUAGAGAUGCGGCGGAACACCGGCGGCGAAGGCGGCCCCCUGGGGCACAUCUGACGCUGAGGCGCGAAGGCCGGGGGAGCGGAACGGG
rnacentral:rRNA from 1 species